GCCAUCUGAUACUAUGGACAGUAACACUAGCUAUUGCUAGUUGUGGUUUGUCAGUUGAUGCCUAUGUGAUACAGGACCAGAACUUCCAGGAAAGUUAUGUGUCACACCCAGAAUCACCGCUCAGUAAAAAUAAUCAACAGUAUACAAACACUCUGGGAUACAGCAAUCAAAAGUCUCAUCAAUCAGAUUUCAACCAACAACAAACUAUUCUACUUCAACAACUUCAUUCCAUGAAAAAUCAACUACCAAAUUUAGAUCUGACUACUGGGCAAAUCCAACAAAUCCAACAGCAAUUUCCUCAGUAUACUAAUCAACUACAAACCAUGUCUCAAAAUGGACAUCAUCAUCAGCCUGAGCAGUACUUGAACCAGCAACCCUACCAACAAGGCGGAGUGGAAUACCAAUACUUUCGUGACAACUUCAAGGAUGAACCACCUAAAUAUGAAAAAUUUCUCAAGAAAGUUAAACAAGUUGGAUAUUAUUUAUAUCAGUUCUGGCCACUUCUUAAAGGAUGGGGCAUCGUAUAGGCUAAUGCACACUGUGAGGCUAAUGAAGUUUUCUACAAUAAUAUUGUACAGGACGUAUCAAACAUCUGUAACAUCCAGUGAAAAUCAAUAUCACAUACAUCAAAUCUAUUGAACAAAAUGACAUGUCUUUAAGAUAGUUGAAAUUACACCAACAAUACACAGAUUUCCCAACGCUAUGAUUCUUGUAUGAUAUAGUGCUUACGGUGGGUUUUAAGAGAAAAGAAAACACCGUGAUUCAAGUUACUAAUGGUUAAAAAAUAAGUAACAAACGAUUUAAGAAUAACAAAAACUAGAACGUAAAAGAAGGCAACAGAAUUUAACAAAUGUUGAAAUCUUACAUAUCCAUUAAGAAAAAACAAAUCAAGAUAAAAAAAACAAAAACUGAGGGAUUCGCAUGAAUUCAAGAAGGAGCGAGACCGGGUGCGUCGACAUUGUAAACAUCUUCUGCUAUGCAAGCAUCAACCGCCAUUCGAAUCACACUCAGUUGGGCCACAGACACAUCGUAUCGGUCAACCAAUUGGUAACGUCAAACUUUUUAAUUGUAAUGACAAUUUCAGUAGUUUUUUCUCAAAACUGAUUGUUUUCUGUCAGGAGCACACCAUGUUAAUGAAGGCCAUAUAGUGUGAACAUACAUUAGCUUCUAGAUACGUUAUUUUCCACACUCACUUACAUGUGGGUUUUUGAGUGACAGGACAUAAUUAAUAUAUCUGAAAGUGAAAUGAAACAAAAUGUUAAGAUGCUUCUUCCUUUUGUCUUUGAGAAGUCGGCACAAUCAGUGGCAAUUGGAAUACCGACUGUCUGUUGGAAUAUCAAUCAUCAGAUCCAAGCUCAACAUAUAAUUUUUUUAUGUUAAAAAAUUCCAAUGAGACGAUGUAGUCGAUCUUUCAAUUGAGCAUAGGGAAUAAUAGUGUAGAGCGUAGUAUAAGCUAACUCUUACUGCAAAAUUGUCAAGAUUGUGAUAGAAAAUUUUAGUUUGAUUGACACCAUUGGUUGCAUAUAUUUCAUCCCAAUGUUUCAGAGAGGGUGGUAAAGGGUUAUUUUCGUGCAACGUGUUUUGCCAUUUUUAUUUCACGUGCAGCCGUGAAAAGGGUUCGUUAUUCACCGUGUUUCGUGAAAUCGGAAAAAAGAUCAACGUGCAAGAAAUUUUUAAUUGUUCGUUCAUCGUGAAAUGGCAAUUUUAUUUCGCGUUCUUCCAUGCAGAUACCCCCUUUAUGUCCCUCUUCAGAAGGUCAUCUUUUACUGUAAAAAGAAUGGUAGUAAUAACUAGAGAAAGAUGUUUAGUCGAACAUCUAGACGACCCGUUUAUAUAUCUUUCUUUACAAGGAUUUUUGUGAAGUAGAGGUAUGCAAUACUAAUGAAAGCAACAUUAGUCUACCGAUGUUCACAUUUUAAAGGUUGCAUACAAAAGCUGAGAGAAUCAUAUGAACUUCAAUAAAAUCGAGACCGGGUGCGUCGACAUAAGACUGGAUAUUUUCAUCGUUAUAUUUCCUGUUAAUACAUAAGAAAAGAAAGACGGAUUUGUGAUUUCCUAAAAUUUCCUCUUUCGUGAAUGAUGUAGGGCUAUAUUUGGGAUACCCAGACUUGCUGCGAAUUCACGGCUCUUAAGAUAGACAUUCCAAAAUAACCAUUUUGUUCUACUCAAAUUUCAAAUGAAUAGCCAACAGGCAUACCAAACAUCCCAUAUCUCAUGUUAUAUAUAAGUAUUCAAAGGAAAAUACCGCCGGAUUUCACCCCAGUAUAUACAUGUUCAUAUAUAUUGGGACCUGAUUUGUUACCAAUUGCAUUUAAUACGUUAUAAGGUGUUGGACUUUCAAAUAGUUGUGCCUCGAAAAUCUCUGCAGAGACAUUAUUUGUCGAAAUUUGCAUCUGGUGUAGUAUAUUUUGUACAGUGAACAGUUUGAUUAUUAUUGCCAGUGGAUUGAUAAUAUAAUCUGCUGGUGGACUGUUAGUCCCAGUACCAGCAGUAGCUCUGUACCUAGCUUUUUAAUGAAAUUGAGUUAAUAAAAUUUAAAAAAUAAUUUGAAAAUAAGGAAUGUUUCUCCCUCAAACAUGGCAAUAAUUCCUUGUUCUGGCUUCACAGUACCUGUGAAACUAUAUUCUCGAGGGGAGGUGUAGAUCAAGGCCCGUAUGUACAAAACAUCUUAACUUAAGUGUUCUUUAAACUUAGAUUUCACUAAGAAUUCCCUUAGUUAAGUAAAAUUCUUUAAGUCGUAUGCUUAAAGUUACUAAAAGUCUUCACUUAACUACGGAAUCAUGAUACUUUAAUCGGAACCUUCCUCUAAUUACCGUA